rnacentral:rRNA from 1 species
CGCGUGCUUAAACAUGCAAGUCGAACGAUGAAGCCCUUCGGGGUGGAUUAGUGGCGAACGGGUGAGUAACACGUGGGCAAUCUGCCCUUCACUCUGGGACAAGCCCUGGAAACGGGGUCUAAUACCGGAUAACACCGGCUUCCGCAUGGGAGCUGGUUAAAAGCUCCGGCGGUGAAGGAUGAGCCCGCGGCCUAUCAGCUUGUUGGUGGGGUAAUGGCCUACCAAGGCGACGACGGGUAGCCGGCCUGAGAGGGCGACCGGCCACACUGGGACUGAGACACGGCCCAGACUCCUACGGGAGGCAGCAGUGGGGAAUAUUGCACAAUGGGCGAAAGCCUGAUGCAGCGACGCCGCGUGAGGGAUGACGGCCUUCGGGUUGUAAACCUCUUUCAGCAGGGAAGAAGCGAAAGUGACGGUACCUGCAGAAGAAGCGCCGGCUAACUACGUGCCAGCAGCCGCGGUAAUACGUAGGGCGCAAGCGUUGUCCGGAAUUAUUGGGCGUAAAGAGCUCGUAGGCGGCUUGUCACGUCGGGUGUGAAAGCCCGGGGCUUAACCCCGGGUCUGCAUCCGAUACGGGCAGGCUAGAGUGUGGUAGGGGAGAUCGGAAUUCCUGGUGUAGCGGUGAAAUGCGCAGAUAUCAGGAGGAACACCGGUGGCGAAGGCGGAUCUCUGGGCCAUUACUGACGCUGAGGAGCGAAAGCGUGGGGAGCGAACAGGAUUAGAUACCCUGGUAGUCCACGCCGUAAACGUUGGGAACUAGGUGUUGGCGACAUUCCACGUCGUCGGUGCCGCAGCUAACG